rnacentral:lncRNA from 1 species
ACUAAUGGUCAUUCUCAGGCUGGUGAAAGAUCGACGUAUUCAGGACCACAUCUUCCUGAGGUACGGCAUAAAAUGCUGAUGAUGGAAAGCUUAGAUGAGAAGUAAAGAUUAUUUGACAACUAUACUUAACUCCUCUAAUUGAUGGGCCUAUUCUAGCUACAUAAAAAAAUUGUGAACAGAUCUUGUACUAUUUAUUCAUUGUUACCGUGACAGUAAAG